UCGAACGAAAUGUCCCAAUGAAAAGGAAGUACUUAUACUGAAAAGGAUUUGGAUUCACAUCUAGUGGCGAACGGGUGAGUAACGGGUAGGCAACCUGCCCUCACGGGGAUACCAGUUGGAAACGACUGUUAAUACCGGAUAGGAUAUAAAACCGCAUGGUUUAAUAUUUAAAGGAGCUUUUGCUUCACUUGAGGAUGGGCCUGCUUUGUAUUAGAUAGUUGGUGAGGUAAUGGCUCACCAAGUCAACGAUGCAUAGCCGAACUGAGAGGUUGAACGGCCACACUGGAACUGAGACACGGUCCAGACUCCUACGGGAGGCAGCAGUUAGGGAUAUUGGGCAAUGGAGGAAACUCUGACCCAGCAAUGCCGCGUGAGUGAAGAAGUAUUUCGGUAUGUAAAACUCUGUUGUAUGGGAGAAAGAACUAGUAGAAAUGGCUAGGAGAUGACUGUACCAUACGAGAAGUCACGGCUAACUACGUGCC
rnacentral:rRNA from 1 species